rnacentral:tRNA from 1 species
GUCUUUUUAGUUUAUUAUAAAAUUUUAUUUUGUGGAGAUAAAGAAGAGUUCUCAGGAGACA